CAAGUACUCCCGCCGUCCCAAAAUAAGUGACUCAAAAAUGACUCAACUUUACACUAAAGUUAGUACAAAGUUAAGUCAUUUUUGAGUCACUUAUUUUGGGACGGAGGGAGUAGUAU
rnacentral:pre_miRNA from 1 species